rnacentral:tRNA from 1 species
GUGCCCGUAGCUCAGUUGGAUAGAGCAACGGACUUCUAAUCCGUAGGUCGGUGGUUCGAAUCCACCCGGGCAUG